ncrna:unclassified sequences AdoCbl variant RNA
GUGCUGAAAUGCAUGGUGGGAAAUCAGUGUGAAAUUCAUUGGCUGUUCCUGCAACCGUAAAGUCGGAGCGCCACCCAGCAU